rnacentral:rRNA from 1 species
UACGAAGGGGGCGAGCGUUGUUCGGAAUUACUGGGCGUAAAGGGCGCGUAGGCGGCCGAUCAAGUCAGAUGUGAAAGUCCUGGGCUUAACCUGGGGACUGCAUUUGAUACUGAUUGGCUUGAAUUCGGGAGAGGAUAGCGGAAUUCCCAGUGUAGAGGUGAAAUUCGUAGAUAUUGGGAAGAACACCGGUGGCGAAGGCGGCUAUCUGGACCGACAUUGACGCUGAUGCGCGAAAGCGUGGGGGAGCAAACAGGG